AGAAUUUUACUGGAGAGAAACCAUAUGAAUGUGAUCAAUGUGGUAAAGUCUUUGCAAGGAAGAGUCAUCUUGAAAGUCAUGAAAGAAUUCAUACUGGAGAAAAACCUAUGAAUGUCAUCAUUGUGGUAAAGCCUUUGCAUUGAAGAUUUAUCUUCACAAUCAUGAAAGAAUUCAUACUGGAGAGAAACCCUGUGAAUGUAAUCAAUGUGGUAAAGCCUUUGCAUUGAAGAGUAGUCUUCACAAACAUGAAAGUAUUCAUACUGGGGAGAAACCCUAUGAAUGUAGUCAAUGUGGUAAAGCCGUUGUACAUAGGAAUAACCUUCUAGGUCAUGAAAGAAUUCAUACUGGAGAGAAACCAUAUAAAUGUAAUCAAUGUGGUAAAACCUUUGCACAUAAGAUUUCUCUUCAAUGUCAUGAAAGAAUUCAUACUGGAGAGAAACCCUAUGAAUGUAAUCAAUGUGGUAAAGUUUUUACACAGAAGAGAUAUCUUCUCACCCAUGAAAGACUGCAUACUGGAGAGAAACCCUAUAAGUGUAAUCAAUGUGGUAAAGCCUUUGCAUUGAAGAGUCGUCUUCACAAUCAUGAAAGAAUUCAUACUGGAGAGAAACCAUAUAAAUGUGACCAAUGUGGUAAAGCCUUUGCACAGAAGAAUACUCUUCAAAGUCAUGAAAUAAUUCAUACAGGAGAGAAACCCUAUGAAUGUAAUCAAUAUAGCAAAGCCUUUGUACAGAAGAGUAGUUUUCUAAGUCAUGAAAGAAUUUAUACUGGACAGUACCAUAUGGAUGUAAUCAAUGUGGUAAUUUUAGAUGUAAGCUGCCAUGUGGGUGCUGGAAACUGAAUUGUGUUUUCUACAAGAGUUACAUGCCUGGAGUCCAGUUUCAUAUGGGUUCAGGUCCCAAAGAAUAGAUCAGGCAUCAAUAGAGGAAGGAGACUGCCAUGAUGUGAGCAUGAAGCACUGUGGCUGAUGAUUUAUUGAAAACAACUACACAGUUUAUGCUCUGUAACUGAAUCUAAGUUUAGACUCAAGCAGGUUAAAAACAGACUUAAUGAUUCCAGGAUAAAGGCAGCCAUCAACCCCAUUACAGCAUUUUUCCAGAGGCAACAAGUGAUAAAUUCAGCAAGUAUCUUAAUGCCUUUCUGGAUGUGCACCCAUUGUUUCCUUUCAUAGUUGCUUUCAUCCUGGCAACUAGGUGUGUCCAGUUAGUACAUCAUUAAGUUCUCUAUGUUUGGUGUAAUCAGGGGAACACAUUGGGGACUCUUGUGUGGGAGUAGGCAUAGUAAUCACAUUUUGUGGUUGCAUGUUGGUUGGGAUUAUUUCCAAGAAUUUUGUUUAAAGAGACUGCAUUGCCUAUGUAUAUGUCCCAUCCUCCAGUGUUUCCAGCAAAAUAAAUUUCCCACAGUAAAAGGCAUAAAGAAACUCCA